rnacentral:rRNA from 1 species
UACAGAGGAGCCAAGCGUUGUCCGGAUUGACUGGGCGUAAAGCGCACGCAGGCGGUUGGGCGCGUGGGGUGUGAAAUCUGGCCGCUUAACGGCCAGGCGCCAUCCCAUACGGCACAACUGGAGGGAUGCAGAGGUCGGUGGAAUUGCCGGUGUAGUGGUGAAAUGCGUAGAGAUCGGCAGGAACACCCAGAGGGAAACCAGCCGACUGGGCAUCUACUGACGCUAAUGUGCGAGAGCGUGGGGAGCGAACCGG